CUUCCUUUGUUGGUGAGAUUGGUUAGGGUUAAGGUCAGAAUAACAGGGUAAGCCAGUCAGAGGCAGAGAAGGGCGGGUCAUGCCUUUUCCAUCCUAGUAAAAAAAAUCACUGCAGAGC